UGGGGAAUAUUGCGCAAUGGGGGGAACCCUGACGCAGCCAUGCCGCGUGAAUGAAGAAGGCCUUCGGGUUGUAAAGUUCUUUCGGUAUUGAGGAAGGUUGAUGUGUUAAUAGCACAUCAAAUUGACGUUAAAUACAGAAGAAGCACCGGCUAACUCCGUGCCAGCAGCCACGGUAAUACGGAGGGUGCGAGCGUUAAUCGGAAUAACUGGGCGUAAAGGGCACGCAGGCGGUUAUUUAAGUGAGGUGUGAAAGCCCCGGGCUUAACCUGGGAAUUGCAUUUCAGACUGGGUAACUAGAGUACUUUAGGGAGGGGUAGAAUUCCACGUGUAGCGGUGAAAUGCGUAGAGAUGUGGAGGAAUACCGAAGGCGAAGGCAGCCCCUUGGGAAUGUACUGACGCUCGUGUGCGAAAGCGUGGGGAGCAAACAGGAUUAGAUACCCUGGUAGUCCACGCUGUAAACGCUGUCGAUUUGGGGGUUGGGGUUUAACUCUGGCGCCCGUAGCUAACGUGAUAAAUCGACCGCCUGGGGAGUACGGCCGCAAGGUUA
rnacentral:rRNA from 1 species